rnacentral:rRNA from 1 species
GACGUAGGGCGCGAGCGUUGUCCGGAUUUAUUGGGCGUAAAGGGCUCGUAGGCGGCUUGUCGCGUCGAAUGUGAAAACCCGCAGCUCAACUGCGGGCCUGCAGUCGAUACGGGCAGGCUAGAGUUCGGUAGGGGAGACUGGAAUUCCUGGUGUAGCGGUGAAAUGCGCAGAUAUCAGGAGGAACACCGGUGGCGAAGGCGGGUCUCUGGGCCGAUACUGACGCUGAGGAGCGAAAGCGUGGGGAGCGAACAGG